rnacentral:rRNA from 1 species
GACAGAGGGUGCAAACGUUGUUCGGAAUUACUGGGCGUAAAGCGCGUGUAGGCGGCAUGGCAAGUCGGGUGUGAAAGCCCACGGCUCAACCGUGGAAGUGCACUCGAAACUGCUGAGCUGGAGUCCUGGAGAGGAAGGUGGAAUGCUCGGUGUAGAGGUGAAAUUCGUAGAUAUCGAGCGGAACACCGGUGGCGAAGGCGGCCUUCUGGACAGUGACUGACGCUGAGACGCGAAAGCGUGGGGAGCAAAC